rnacentral:rRNA from 1 species
AUUGAACGCUGGCGGAAUGCUUUACACAUGCAAGUCGAACGGCAGCACGGACUUCGGUCUGGUGGCGAGUGGCGAACGGGUGAGUAAUGUAUCGGAACGUGCCCAGUCGAGGGGGAUAACGUAGUGAAAAUUACGCUAAUACCGCAUACGAUCUAUGGAUGAAAGCGGGGGAUCGCAAGACCUCGCGCGAUUGGAGCGGCCGAUAUAAGAGUAGGUAGUUGGUGGGGUAAAGGCCCACCAAGCCAACGAUCUGUAGCUGGUCUGAGAGGACGACCGGCCACACUGGAACUGAGACACGGUCCAGACUCCUACGGGAGGCAGCAGUGGGGAAUUUUGGACAAUGGGCGAAAGCCUGAUCCAGCCAUUCCGCGUGCAGGAUGAAGGCCCUCGGGUUGUAAACUGCUUUUGUACAGAACGAAAAGGUUUCUACUAAUACUAGGAGCUCAUGACGGUACUGUAAGAAUAAGCACCGGCUAACUACGUGCCAGCCGCCGCCGUAA